AAAUAAACAGCCAUGUUGCUCACACAAAGCCUGUUUGGUGGUCUCUUCACACGGACGCACAUGAAAGUAUCUGUAUGAGUCAGAUUUCAUGCUGCUGAUAAAGACAUACCCGAGACUGGGAAGAAAAAGAGGUUUAGUUGGACUUACAGUUCCACAUGGCUGGGGAGGUCUCAGAAUCAUGGCAGGAGGCAAAAGGCACUUCUUACAUGGUGGCAGCAAGAGAAAAUGAGGAAGAAGCAAAAGCAGAAACCCCUGAUAAACCCAUCAGAUCUCCUGAGCUUUAUUCACUAUCACAGGAAUGACCAGCCCCCAUGAUUCAAUUACCUCCCCCUGGUUCCCUCCCACAACACGUGGGAAUUCUGGGAGAUACAAUUCAAGUUGAGAUUCGGGUGGAGAUCCAGCCAAACCAUAUCAUUAUCUUAAUUGACAUCAGUGUCCCGGUGGUCUUCUGCCAGUGAAUGAUACCUACUAUUACUAAAGUAUGUCCCUCAAAGAUGAGUGCCAUAGCAAAAGACCUUUGUAAAAUAAUAAAAAAAAAAAAACUGCUCUCCUACGGGAGCUGAACAGAAGUCUACAAAAUAGGCUGGGGCUCACCCUGACCUUCCUUUAACUACCACAAAUCACUCCUCUUUGCUGAGUAACUUACCAUUGCCUCUCAAUUUUGUUUCAUUUCAGGCAUUACACCUAAAAGUAAUUUGAGCACCUUGAGCUUAGAGCCUACCUUGGCUAAUGUGAAACACUCCAGCUGUGCUAAGAUGGUCCUCAAUAGUCAACAAGCACUUCUGAAAGUCUGGUAGGUGUGUGCAUUUGAAUGAAUCCUCAGUCUUCUCUAAUUCUGUCUGGAAGGAUUCAUUAAAGGCCUUUCUCAUGUCUUGAUUAAUUGCCCUUCAAGGAUAAAUUUUCACGACAUAUAGAAGCCGUUUUUAUCUACAGCAUCAAUUUUACUGCUAUAAAUGAGCAAAAUGAGUGUCCCAUCUCUGGACAUACCUGGUUAUGCAAGAACUUAACAUCCCCUGAUGCUUUGUGAAAAGAACAUUUAAGAUCUUUUGCCCAUGUAAAAUGGAAUCCAUCUAUUAAAAUUGUACCUUGAAUUGCUAAGUUUGAAAAGAUCAUACAAUAUCUCAUCUUUGGUUUUUGAACUGCAGAAAGUUAAUCUGAAAUAGUUCAAUUUGGGUAGUAGAAUUUCCAAAAGCUGCCCAAAAGACAAAAUCUAUUUGAAAAAAGAAAAAAAACCAGCAAAGUGGGAACAGGUUAAGUUGUCUUUCCUUUCCUUUGGUCAGUAUCAUUCAGUUUGGAUUAUAAUCCAUGAUUUCUGAAAUAUAACCCACUUCAUUUGCCCUUAAAGACUAAGACCUCUAUUAAAAGCAGAGCAUUUCUUGUCAUUCUUUCCAUUGUAUUGACCACUGAGCGAUUCAUUAACAAUUGAUCUGCAUCUCCUUAAAGGAAAAAAAAAACCAGGUCAAUAGGAAGUCAAUCUGUUGAGAAGGAAUAGAGGAAAUAUGUGAUGCAGCAAGGCACAUCUGUAAUAAGACUGGAGGGAUGUAGGCAAUGGAGAGAACAGUGACAUGGCCCCUACAAAAAUCCAAUUUCUGAAGUCAGACAAACAGACUAAACUAGAGUUUAACACAGACAAACCUUUAUGCUAGAAAAGUUUAUUUGCCACCUAUUCCUGAUUUAGCCAUUGUGAUUUCUCUUUUGCAUAGUGUUUUGAAUGGAAAUUCACAGGUUACAAUGUUAAGAAGUUACUAAAGAACAAUUGAGGACAACAUAACUGAAAAUGGGGUGGUAAAAAGAACUGUUAAACUAUUUCUUUGAGCCUUAGUAAACCAUUUCCCACAAUUAUUCUAAAUUCAAAUUGGUCACUGAUGACAAAUAAGCAAUACUUUCAAACAAGUUUUGUUCUCCUGUCUAAAACUCUAUUUAACAUUUGAGAUAGUCAUUAGCUAAAAUAGAUUCUCUGACUCAAGGCAACAUUACCUUCUGCUAGCCUUGGCAUUAGAGUGGUUGGAAGAAGGAGGCUUCAUGUUCUGCAGUUGUCAGAAGAAAACAAACCACUUAAAUUUAUAACAAGUUACCAGCUAGAAUCUGUUGUAAUAAUCACAGUCUUUUGUGAAAAUCAAUGAAGUGCAUGGCAUUUUAAUUCACUAUCUCUGAUCCUCAAGGCAACCAAGCAAGUUGGUAUUAUGAUUACUCUGUCUUAGAUAGAAAUCAAGGUUCAAAGAAGUUACAUGUGCCCCACAUCGAAUAGCUCAUAAAUCCUAAAGUUAAUAUUGGAAGUCAAGUCUUACUAUUUCAAAACUCAUGCUCAAUCUACUGCUAACCUGUAGUCGUCUAGCUUUAAUUUAUAAUAUACAAUAAAACCUUACCUGGAACUCUAAUAAGUAAACCAGAUAAAAUAAAAGAGGCUCUGGUUGAAUUGGGAGGAGAAAGCCUGGAGCUUGACUACUUAGAUUCCUUCCCCUUUUCCCAACCCUCUCUGUAGCAGCCCCCAGUGCUCUGCUCUGUAGCACUGGGGGUGGCUACAGAGAGGCUCUGUAGGAAACCCUAUAGUUGGCCUUCUGUUGGGGCUCUUCCCAGCAACAUCUUGCUCCAUAAACACAAGCACCUGUAUGCAUAUCAGGGGUCAGUCACAAACUCGGAUGCUUACAGGUGCCCCAAACACAAUCCUGCUGCACCUUUGGAGUGAUGGAAGUUUCUUUUCAUUCCCUAGCCAUGAGUUUUAAAGUUAUUGGUCUCUCAACCAAUGGGGUUUUUUUAAUUGAAUUUUAAUUUCUGAAUCCAAAUUCCAAACUCAGAAUACUGAGGAAUGAUAUUAAUAGAAGGCCAUGGAAACAUACGAUAGUCAAUAAAAAGAGAAAGAUCUCAUUUAAUAAACAUGGUACAUAACCUAUAAACUUGACAUUCUGCAUUUUUGUAUACUGCAAACCCAUAUACGGUAUAUGUGCUAUGUGUAUUUCAAAGUAUAGUAUGCAUGUACCCAAACGUAAACAGUCAAUUAAUUUGUUCCCAGCGGCAGUUCAUUACCAACAUCACAAGCAAAACAUGCGCUCUCCCUGGGCAUUGAAGGUCCACCGGAAAUUAAGCAGACGGGGCUGCAAAGCACCUCAGAGUGAAGCCAGCCAGCUUCAUCUGCUGCAGCAGGCUGGAGGCAAGCACAAGGAGCGGCAGGAAUGAAAGGCUUCAGCGCCUUCCCUGGUGUCUCUGUGCCUUCUGAGUUUUCAGCUGACAUGGAGCAGUGAUUCCCUGAAAAGGAUGGGAUCUUGCUCCCUCAAAGAUCAGCCUUCUUUGAUGAGCCUGCUCCAGGUGGAGUGGAGCAACCACUUUAGCUUUUUAGUGCAGAGAAGACUUAGGAAGUUUCAUUUUCCUUGACUGGGGUUCUGCUUUCUGUACUGACCCUUCCUGGUCAGUGGGGAGCUCGGAGCUCUGAGUUGGAGCACCUUACCAAAAUCUUCUCUGAGUGGGGUUAAGUAAGCCAGCAGACUCUGCAAGAACAGAGCCUUGCUGAAUUUAGCUUUCCAGAAAGCCCUAUUUUAAGGGAACUCAGUAUUUCAGCAAGAUGCUGGAUUAGGGGGAGAAAACAAGUAGUCUGUUAAUUCUUUGUUGUUGUCAGCAGCCUUGCAGGUUCCUGGACCAUGACACAUCAGCACAGUCCUAAGUAACAGAAGACUCAGGUCCUCACCAUGACCUCAAACAGCAUGAUCUCUGUGAAUCUCAGUAAAUCAUUCUGAGCUUCACUUUCCUUGUUCACACCAUAUAGCUAUUUAUAUCUGCUCCACAUGAUGGGCAAGGUCACUGGGAAGUGUAGAUUAUAUAAGGCAUGGGAAUGGCUUCACAGGUUCAUGUGGGACAUCACAUGGUGAGGCACAGAGAUCAGAAGGUUUGGGUUCAAAUCAGCUCUGCCGAGCUGGAGAAACCAUGUUAGUACUUGACCCUGGUGUUUCAAACUCAAAAUCAGAAUAAGAUUAGGGAUAGGAAAAAGACCACACGAGAUACUUCUGAGUUUUAAAUGAUUUAUUUGAAUGAGGUCAACUUUCGUUCACUUCUAAAGGAAGAUAGAAGUGUGAGUUUUGUAAUUAGCCUAGAGAACCGGGGGAGCAAGACCCUACUGAACAAGCCUCCUCCAGAGCUCGCCCCAAAGUCUGGAGUGCAAAAUGUCCACCUCGUUAUGAUUAAUGAAGCCUCUGGAUAUAGAUCAGAAGACUAGAAAUGUCUGUGAAAGGAGCUCUUCCAGGGGCUCAGCCAAAACCAGGAGAAUUGCCCUCGACUCCUCUCUUUCCUUGUUUCUAAGCCAUCGGCAAUUUUGCUCAGCUCCAUCGUCAGGAAGUCCCAAAUCAGACCACUGCUCCCUGAUUCCACAGCUUCCGUCCUGGUCCAGGCUCCAUAAUCUCCCCCUGAACCUCUGAAAGAGCCUCUUAAGCAGACUCCUGCCGCUCCCCACCCUUGCUUCUCUUGUCUGUUUCUUCAAGCAGCCAAAGGGAUCCCUGUUAAAAUGUUAAGUGCAAUCUCAUCAGCCUCUGUUCAAAACCCUCAGAUGGCUUUAAGCAGAGUAAAAUCCAUAAUUCUCACCACAGCCAGGGGGACCUUGGUGACCUCAUUCCUCCAUGAGGGUAUCUCCCUCCACUCUCCUCAUCCCGUUUUCUGUUCCAGAUGCACUGACCAUCUAGUCCUACCUGGGAACAUGAACACCAGGAAUGCUGCUGCCUGGGAAGACUUUCACUUUCUGUUCUUUCUGCCUGAAACACUCCUUCCUGGGAAUCCACAUUAAUCCAUAUUCUUUCUUUGCUAGAGUCUGACUGAAAUAUCAUCUGUGCAGAGAGGCCUAUCUUACCACCCUAUUUUAAAUAAUACAUGUAUGUGUACGCACACCCAUGUGUAUGCACUCUCCAUCUCCUUACUUGCUUUAUUUUUCUUUAUUCACUCAUCAUCUUCUUCUAUACAUCCAUUCAUUUACUCUUCUAUCGUCUGUUUUAUACUCCUGCCCUUGAUUAGAAUAUAAAUUUCCUAAGAGUACAGACUUGGUCUGUUUGAUUCACUCUUCCAGUGCCCAAAAUAGUGUCUGACACAUAUCAAUUAUUUAAUAAUUAUUUGCAGAUAUGACAGCAUGAA
rnacentral:lncRNA from 1 species